GCGUGUGGGUGCUUACCUGCAAGUCGAGCGAGGCCCACCUUUCGGGGUGGUGUCCUAGCGGCGAACGGGUGAGUAACACGUGGGCAACCUGCCCUCAGCUCUGGGAUAACUCCAAGAAAUUGGGGCUAAUACCGGAUAUGACUGCUGACCGCAUGGUCUGGUGGUGGAAAGAUUUAUCGGCUGGGGAUGGGCCCGCGGCCUAUCAGCUUGUUGGUGGGGUAGUGGCCUACCAAGGCGACGACGGGUAGCCGGCCUGAGAGGGUGACCGGCCACACUGGGACUGAGACACGGCCCAGACUCCUACGGGAGGCAGCAGUGGGGAAUAUUGCGCAAUGGGCGGAAGCCUGACGCAGCGACGCCGCGUGGGGGAUGACGGCCUUCGGGUUGUAAACCUCUUUCAGCAGGGACGAAGCGAAAGUGACGGUACCUGCAGAAGAAGCACCGGCCAACUACGUGCCAGCAGCCGCGGUAAUACGUAGGGUGCAAGCGUUGUCCGGAAUUAUUGGGCGUAAAGAGCUCGUAGGCGGUUUGUUGCGUCGGCUGUGAAAUCCCGAGGCUCAACCUCGGGUCUGCAGUCGAUACGAGCAAACUAGAGUGUUGCAGGGGAGACUGGAAUUCCUGGUGUAGCGGUGAAAUGCGUAGA
rnacentral:rRNA from 1 species